rnacentral:tRNA from 1 species
GGGUAGGUUGCGGAGCGGUCAAACGCAGCGGACUGUAAAUCCGCCGGCUUAGCCUUCACAGGUUCGAAUCCUGUCCUGCCCACCA